rnacentral:rRNA from 1 species
ACAGGGAUUGCCCCAGUAACGGCGAGUGAAGCGGCAACAGCUCAAAUUUGAAAUCUGGCUUCGGCCCGAGUUGUAAUUUGUAGAGGAAGAUUUUGGUGAGGCACCUUCUGAGUCCCCUGGAACGGGGCGCCAUAGAGGGUGAGAGCCCCGUAUAGUUGGAUGCCUAGCCUGUGUAAAUCUCCUUCGACGAGUCGAGUAGUUUGGGAAUGCUGCUCUAAAUGGGAGGUAAAUUUCUUCUAAAGCUAAAUAUUGGCCAGAGACCGAUAGCGCACAAGUAGAGUGAUCGAAAGAUGAAAAGCACUUUGAAAAGAGGGUUAAACAGCACGUGAAAUUGUUGAAAGGGAAGCGCUUGUGACCAGACUUGCGCCGGGCGGAUCAUCCGGUGUUCUCACCGGUGCACUCCGCCCGGCUCAGGCCAGCAUCGGUUUUCGUGGGGGGAUAAAGGCCCGGGGAACGUAGCUCCUCCGGGAGUGUUAUAGCCCUGGGCGCAACGCCCUCGCGGGGACCGAGGUUCGCGCUUCUGCAAGGAUGCUGGCGUAAUGGUCAUCAGCGACCCGUCUUGAAACACGGACCAAGGAGUCAAGGUUUUGCGCGAGUGUUUGGGUGUAAAACCCGCACGCGUAAUGAAAGUGAACGUAGGUGAGAGCUUCGGCGCAUCAUCGACCGAUCCUGAUGUAUUCGGAUGGAUUUGAGUAGGAGCGUUAAGCCUUGGACCCGAAAGAUGGUGAACUAUGCUUGGAUAGGGUGAAGCCAGAGGAAACUCUGGUGGAGGCUCGCAGCGGUUCUGACGUGCAAAUCGAUCGUCAAAUCUGAGCAUGGGGGCGAAAGACUAAUCGAACCAUCUAGUAGCUGGUUACCGCCG